GCUACCGCAGCUGCCUGGCUCCUAUAGAAACACUUUGAGAAUGUGUCAGCGUUUAUCCAGCAGACGUAAAUAUCACGCAAAAGUUACUUCAAAAGUCCAGCUCGCUUUGUUAGGCGCAGCUGCCCAUGGCUUUGACAAAUGAGCCGUCGGGUAGCUGCCUGAAGAUGCCCCGUAACGAAGGAGACAUUCACUAAAGUAAGUCUAUUCACAUUCACAUUAACUCUACAUAUUCGGAAAGUGUCUAUAAAAUGUACGGGUAUUGACUGCAUUGUUCUUGACUGAACAGAGACUCCAGUCUUAUUUAUAAAGAAGAGUUGGAUUGCUCAACCUUUGACUUACAGAAAAAGCUGCCCUCUCUUGACGUUAGACCCAGAUGGCCUGUACAUCCUCGACUUAACAUCAGCGUUUACCCGUGGAGAGAGGAUCCAAAGGUAUGAAACUCAGAUUGUCAUAAUUAACAUAGCGUAUUAUUCAGUUCCCAACCCCUAAAACAUGUUUAGUUUUAAA
rnacentral:lncRNA from 1 species